rnacentral:rRNA from 1 species
AAUCAACGCUGGCGGCGUGCCUAACACAUGCAAGUCGAACGCGAAAGGGGCUUCGGCCCUGAGUAGAGUGGCGAACGGGUGAGUAACACGUGGGUGAUCUACCUCUGAGUGGGGGAUAACCUUCCGAAAGGAGGGCUAAUACCGCAUGACGUUCUGGGUUUGAAGACCUGGAAACCAAAGUCGGGGACCGCAAGGCCUGACGCUUGGAGAGGAGCCCGCGCCUGAUUAGCUAGUUGGCGGGGUAACGGCCCACCAAGGCGACGAUCAGUAGCCGGCCUGAGAGGGCGGACGGCCACACUGGGACUGAGACACGGCCCAGACUCCUACGGGAGGCAGCAGUGGGGAAUUGUUCGCAAUGGGCGCAAGCCUGACGACGCAACGCCGCGUGGAGGAUGAAGGUCUUCGGAUUGUAAACUCCUGUUGACCGGGACGAACGGGCUCUGACCUAACACGUCGGAGCAGUGACGGUACCGGUUGAGGAAGCCACGGCUAACUCUGUGCCAGCAGCCGCGGUAAUAC